GACGGACGACGGACGACGCCGGACGCCGGACGCCAAGUGAUGAGAAAAGCUCACUUGGCCCUUCGGGCCAGGUGAGCUAAAAAAUGUUAGACCUUAUUGAAGUCACUCUCAGGAACAAAUGAAAGGAAAUGGCCUUAUAUUCAACUGUCAAUCAUUAGUACUAUUCUAGAAAUUAAAAAAAAAAAAUUAACGUAAAAAAAAACAAUAUGCACUUACGAUUAAAUUUAUGCAUAGGAAUAAAUACAAAAAUUUAUACCUUUUUACAAAAUUGUCUAUAUAAAAAUGUUAAGACUAGAAAACUUAAUUUUAUCCGCUUUUACUUCUUCUUACAGAUCGUAAUUGAGUUAUUAAAACCAGCUAUAUGAAGGAGUGUGAUUGUUAAACACGCCAAUUCCCAAAAGGGAAUCUAACAGAAUUACUGAUAUAGAAAAAUAUUAAAAUACUAUCUAAUAUAUUUUUCGUUCUUGUAAAAUCAUUAUUGUAACUAUUUUUGAACUAUGAUCACCAAAUUGUUUUUAAGAACACAAAACAGAAAAAUUAAUAAUAAUACAGAGGACAUUCAUGAAAGAUAAAGUCUGAAUUGAGCAAAUUUUAAAACAUUUUAUUUUAUAAAUGCCAUUGAUAUCAAAGGGAAGGUUUUAAACCAUGAUUUCACUGUUAUGUAUUUACUGGUAUAUUUUUUGAAGUUUUGGUUAUUAAUAUAACUAUUAAAUAAUUACAAUACUGAACAAAUACAUGCACAAAGACAUGGCUUUUAAAAAGCAAUGAGACAAAAUAUGGAAUGAACUAAUUACUAAUGAGGUAAGAGAUUCAGAUUGACACAGAAGUAACAUUUGAUUGACCUAGUUUUCAAAUGAAUUUAUUUGACAAGUUCUUGAAAAACAUGAUAUUUUUGAAAAAUGGGAAUAAAUCAAGCAACUUUGAUUAAAACCUACAUGGGAUCAACGGAAAGGCACUUGAGAUGGUGUCAAGUACCAUGAAAUUCAAAAAAACAACCUCAAUGAGUUUUUGUCCUGUUAUAUAAUACACAGAGAGCAUGGAUAAUUGAUAAAAAAAACUCAAUCAAAAUAAUAUUUUUUUAGUUUAUAAUCAAUUGAGAAACCCAUUAUUUACUUUUGGAUUAAAACAUUCCAGAAGAGAUACUACUGUAUGAAUAUAAAAAGGUACCAAAUUUGUCAGUUAUAAAAUAUUUAUAAAACAGGCAUUGUCAGUUAACUUAGAAUGACUAGGAUGAUGACUAGCAUUAUAACCAAAAUCAUUAAAGUGUUAACCAAUUGUCUAGCAAGUAAUAGGUUCUAGUUCAAUUUUGACAAAAAAAUAUC
rnacentral:lncRNA from 1 species